AACGAACGCUGGCGGCAUGCCUAACACAUGCAAGUCGAACGAUACCUUCGGGCCUGGUGGCGCACGAGUGCGUAACUCGUUGUAACCUCCCCUUAGUUUCGCACUAACUCCCCUUAAGCGGUUCUCAUACCGCAUAAUGUCUUCUGACCAAUGAUUUAUCGCCUUUGGAUGGGCCCUCGUUCGAUUAGCUCUUUGGUAGUUUAAUAGCCUACCAAGGCGACGAUCCAUAACUGGUCGGAGAGGAUGAACAGCCACACUGGGAGUGAGACACGGCCAAGACUCCUACGGGAGGUAGCAGCGGGGUGUAACGGACAAAGGGCGAGAGCCUGAACCAACAAAGGUGCGUGAGCGAUGAAGGCCGAAGGGUUGAAAAGAAAUUUUAACCGGGAUGAUAAUGAAGGCACCGGGCAAAUAAGCUCCGGAUAAAUAAGUG
rnacentral:rRNA from 1 species